UUAAAUUGAAGAGUUUGAUCAUGGCUCAGAUUGAACGCUGGCGGCAGGCCUAACACAUGCAAGUCGAACGGUAACAGGAAUCAGCUUGCUGAUUCGCUGACGAGUGGCGGACGGGUGAGUAAUGUCUGGGAAACUGCCUGAUGGAGGGGGAUAACUACUGGAAACGGUAGCUAAUACCGCAUAAUGUCGCAAGACCAAAGAGGGGGACCUUCGGGCCUCUUGCCAUCGGAUGUGCCCAGAUGGGAUUAGCUAGUAGGUGGGGUAACGGCUCACCUAGGCGACGAUCCCUAGCUGGUCUGAGAGGAUGACCAG
rnacentral:rRNA from 1 species